GUGUGUGUGUGUGUGUGUGUGGAAAUUGCGUUGAAUGAGAGAUACAAUUUCGCACGUUGAGCACACAGUGGUGUGACUCGUUUAUUGAGUUUGAGAAACCAGGAAAUCAAAACGUGCUGCAAGUAAACGAAUCCCGUAUCGGGCUCUGACGUCAUGAGACGCUCGUAAUCCUUAAAGGGACAGCGAUCCCUGAACCACCAAGACAGUAAACGACAUGCCUAACACAGUGGAAAGAACAACACAUAACAAAAUACUGUAGGUGAAUAAUGUUACUCACUAUACACGCACGUACGUACGUACGUACGUACGUACGUACGUCACGUUGCAAGAAUAUGGUUUCAAAAGCACUUGCCCAUCGGGCAAGUACAGGUCAUGUUCAACUUGCCCGAAUGUGAUGUUCACUUGCCCAAAUUAUAAUCAGAAUCUUGAACAGGCCUCUUUUUGCCAGGCACGCGGCCUGGUUUUGGGGGGGCUCAGAAAAAUCAUCCUAGCUCAGACUGAAGCUGAAUGUUAGCUUCCACACGUGUUUAAAAAAUAACAAACUUCUCUUUGUUUACUUAUUUAUUGAGCGGUCACAUCGUGCCAUGAAGUGAUUUCAGUCCACCGUUGCAACAUAUUAAAGCUAUCGCCAAGUUAUAUUGUCAGUCAAGAUACUGGAUUUUCUAACUUUGACACUAUACCUGGAAAAAUAUCGAUAUUCUAUACCAUUUUCAAUAUCAGGGGAAACGUUUUUUUCAGGAAAGAACAUACCCAAAGUAAAUAGAGUAUAUCUCCACAACUGCAAGGGCGAUAAUGUCAUCUUUG